GGAGUCCACAGCCUAAACCUAACCUUUCAUAGCCUACCAUCCACUGUCGCUAUCUAGAAAGACGAUUCUCUUGUGAAGCGAGUGAGAUCCCCUUUCCACCGAUUAAGUUUAGGGAAAAAUAAUGAUUUUGUAGAAAACAUCUUGGGAAAGUGAUUAUGAAGGAAAUUAAUAUUGAUUGGCUGUAUGAACUUAGGGUCUGUUUGGUUAUAUGUUAUGUAGAUAGCAGCACUAUCUAGGUGAAAAUAGCAUUCAGGCAAUGCUGUUAUCUAUUAAAUAUAGUGUGUUUGGUUAACUUACUUUAAUUUGCAAUGUUAUCUAGAAGCUUAACUAUAGCUAUGAUCUUUUUUUGUUGUUAUUUUAUAAUACAUUAAGUAGCAUAUAGAUUUAGACAGAUGUGGCAUGAACAAAAAAUAUAGCAUCACAUAGCAAUUGUCAACAAACCAAACAACCACUUAAUAAAAUAGAUACAUGAUAAUAGAGAGAAUGGUGCAUUUUCUAGUCUUUCCAUCAUUGAGUAUAAAUAUUCAUGUUUAGGUUAGAUAUUUGGAGGUUUUUACUUUUUGUUUUUAAGUAUGUAUAUAAGAACUUCGUAUAAGUUAAAUUUAUACAUGGAUUAUUUUGGAUUACAUGAUAAUUGCAUGUUGCAAUCGUCUUAAUCUCAACCAUUCCUUUCACUUUAAAGUUUUUUACAAAAUCGGUUUGGUUUGUUGGACUCAAUCAAGAUGCCAAAUUAGAAUGUAUGGUUUGACCGGGUUGCAUCUUGCGAUCGCCACCAUAUGGGGAGUGGAUGCAUAUUCUUCCAAGUGAGUAUAUCAUCUAUGAAUGAAUGCAUUUUCAUUGUAGCUUCUUUCAUUUUUUGAAAACAAAAUUGAAUGUAACAAUGAAAAGUGAGGUUUUAUAAGUAAACAUGAAAAUAGUUAUAGGUAAGUGUAUAGAUCUAUGACAUAUUUUGUUAGUUGGAAGUCCGAUAUGAAAAUAGUUAUAGAUAAGUAAGCAUGAGGCCAAUAAUAGAGAAUAAGGGCACAAAGUUAAUUAUAAAUAGAUUUGGCAUAUGGAAUGUAACAACUCAAAUUCUUAUCUAUUGAUAUAUUGAGAUUAUCUGCUUUGUUCUAAUGGCCUCAUGAUUUUGUCCCAUUGGUGUAAUGUUUUAAGAGAUUACUUAUCCCAGAAGUGCUUCUAUAUGAGCAUGCUUAAUUGUUGCUCGAAAAGGAAUUUUGAUAUUUAAAGGUGUAGUUCAUUUUA